rnacentral:rRNA from 1 species
AUACGGAGGAUGCGAGCGUUAUCCGGAUUUAUUGGGUUUAAAGGGUGCGUAGGCUGUGCGUUAAGUCAGGGGUGAAAUGCCGUCGCUCAACGACGGAGCUGCCCUUGAUACUGGCGUGCUGGAGUACGGAUGCCGUUGGAGGAAUGAGUGGUGUAGCGGUGAAAUGCUUAGAUAUCACUCAGAACACCGAUUGCGAAGGCAUCUGACGAAUCCGUCACUGACGCUGAGGCACGAAAGCGUGGGGAUAGAACAGGAUUAGAUACCCUGGUAUUCCACGCCGUAAACGAUGAUGACUAACCGUCGGCGGUAGACAGCCGGUGGCCAAGCGAAAGCGAUAAGUCAUCCACCUGGGGAGUACGUCGGCAACGAUGAAACUCAAAGGAAUUGACGGGG